rnacentral:rRNA from 1 species
GGAGUCUGGACCGUGUCUCAGUUCCAGUGUGGGGGACCUUCCUCUCAGAACCCCUAGCCAUCGUCGCCUUGGUGGGCCGUUACCCCGCCAACUAGCUAAUGGCACGCGAGCCAAUCCGUAUGCAAUGAAUCUUUCAAACACGAACCAUGCGGUCCUUGUUGUUAUGGGGUAUUAGACGCCGUUUCCAGCGCUUAUCCCCCUCAUACGGGCAUGUUGCUCACGCGUUACGCACCCUUCCGCCGGUCGCCGCCAAAGUAUUGCUACCUCGCGCUGCCCCUCGACUUGCAUGUGUUAAGCCUGCCGCUAGCGUUCAUC